UACGAAGGGGGCUAGCGUUGCUCGGAAUCACUGGGCGUAAAGCGCACGUAGGCGGUCUUUUAAGGCAGGGGGGAAAUCCUGGAGCUCAACUCCAGAACUGCCUUUGAUACUGAGAGACUUGAGUCCGGGAGAGGUGAGUGGAACUGCGAGUGUAGAGGUGAAAUUCGUAGAUAUUCGCAAGAACACCAGUGGCGAAGGCGGCUCACUGGCCCGGUACUGACGCUGAGGUGCGAAAGCGUGGGGAGCAAACAGG
rnacentral:rRNA from 1 species